rnacentral:rRNA from 1 species
AUUGAACGCUGGCGGCAUGCUUUACACAUGCAAGUCGAACGGUAACAGGGAGCUUGCUCCGCUGACGAGUGGCGAACGGGUGAGUAAUAUAUCGGAACGUACCCAAGAGUGGGGGAUAACGUAGCGAAAGUUACGCUAAUACCGCAUACGAUCUAAGGAUGAAAGCAGGGGACCUUUCGGGCCUUGUGCUCCUGGAGCGGCCGAUAUCUGAUUAGCUAGUUGGUGAGGUAAAGGCUCACCAAGGCGACAAUCAGUAGCUGGUCUGAGAGGACGACCAGCCACACUGGAACUGAGACACGGUCCAGACUCCUACGGGAGGCAGCAGUGGGGAAUUUUGGACAAUGGGCGCAAGCCUGAUCCAGCAAUGCCGCGUGAGUGAAGAAGGCCUUCGGGUUGUAAAGCUCUUUUGUCAGGGAAGAAACGGCUGUGGCUAAUAUCCACGGCUAAUGACGGUACCUGAAGAAUAAGCACCGGCUAACUACGUGCCAGCAGCCGCGGUAAUACGUAGGGUGCAAGCGUUAAUCGGAAUUACUGGGCGUAAAGCGUGCGCAGGCGGUUUUGUAAGUCUGUCGUGAAAUCCCCGGGCUCAACCUGGGAAUUGCGAUGGAGACUGCAAGGCUAGAAUCUGGCAGAGGGGGGUAGAAUUCCACGUGUAGCAGUGAAAUGCGUAGAGAUGUGGAGGAACACCGAUGGCGAAGGCAGCCCCCUGGGUCAAGAUUGACGCUCAUGCACGAAAGCGUGGGGAGCAAACAGGAUUAGAUGCCCUGGUAGUCCACGCCCUAAACGAUGUCUACUAGUUGUCGGGUUUUAAUUAACUUGGUA